GUGGCAGCCGCCGCGGUAAGACGUAGGGCGCGAGCGUUGUCCGGAUUUAUUGGGCGUAAAGAGCUCGUAGGCGGCUUGUCGCGUCGACUGUGAAAACCCGCGGCUCAACUGCGGGCCUGCAGUCGAUACGGGCAGGCUAGAGUUCGGUAGGGGAGACUGGAAUUCCUGGUGUAGCGGUGAAAUGCGCAGAUAUCAGGAGGAACACCGGUGGCGAAGGCGGGUCUCUGGGCCGAUACUGACGCUGAGGAGCGAAAGCGUGGGGAGCGAACAGGAUUAGAUACCCUGGUAGUCCACGCUGUAAACGUUGGGCGCUAGGUGUGGGGGACCUCUCCGGUUCUCUGUGCCGCAGCUAACGCAUUAAGCGCCCCGCCUGGGGAGUACGGCCGCAAGGCUAAAACUCAAAGGAAUUGACGG
rnacentral:rRNA from 1 species